CCCUCGGAAGCUGCUAGGCGGAAGUAGACGUUCAGAAGAGGUCUAGGCGGGGCCGAGCGCACAUCCGGGAGAGGAAAGGAGAGCGGAAGUGGCGUUGAUCUGGCCGGAGCCCUUGGGUGAAAUUGUUAGGCGUGGAGAGGGAGUGAUGUCUUCCAGACUUGGUGCAGUACCCGCUACUCCGGGACCCACAUCCUUUAAGCAGCAGAGGAGCUCGAGGAUCGUGGGAGCUAAGAAUAGCAGGACCCAGUGCUCCAUAAAGGAUAAUAGUUUCCAGUACACUAUCCCUCAUGAUGACUCCUUAAGUGGCUCAUCAUCUGCCUCCUCAUGUGAACCAGUGAGUGAUUUUCCAGCAUCCUUCCGAAAAUCUACCUACUGGAUGAAGAUGAGAAGGAUCAAGCCAGCUGCUACUUCUCAUGUUGAAGGGUCAGGUGGAGUAUCAACCAAAGGAAAAAGGAAACCCAGGCAGGAAGAAGAUGAAGACUACCGAGAAUUUCCUCAGAAGAAGCAUAAGCUUUAUGGGAGGAAGCAACGGCCUAAAACUCAGCCCAAUCCCAAAUCCCAGGCUCGUCGUAUUCGGAAGGAACCACCAGUUUAUGCAGCAGGCAGUUUGGAGGAGCAGUGGUACUUAGAAAUCGUGGAUAAAGGCAGUGUCUCCUGCCCUACCUGCCAGGCAGUGGGGAGGAAGACCAUAGAGGGUUUAAAGAAACACAUGGAAAACUGCAAACAGGAAAUGUUUACUUGUCAUCAUUGUGGGAAACAACUUCGUUCACUGGCAGGGAUGAAGUAUCAUGUCAUGGCAAAUCAUAAUAGUUUGUCCAUUCUGAAAGCUGGAGAUGAAAUAGAUGAGCCAAGUGAGAGGGAACGGCUCCGAACAGUUCUAAAGAGACUGGGAAAGCUUAGGUGCAUGCGCGAGAGUUGCUCCAGUAGCUUUACCAGCAUCAUGGGAUAUCUGUACCAUGUCAGAAAAUGUGGCAAAGGUGCUGCAGAGCUGGAGAAGAUGACCCUGAAAUGUCACCACUGUGGAAAACCAUAUAGAUCAAAGGCUGGACUUGCGUAUCACCUGAGGUCAGAACAUGGGCCUAUCUCCUUCUUUCCAGAGUCAGGACAGCCAGAGUGCUUAAAGGAGAUGAGCCUAGAGUCAAAGAGUGGGGGCCGAGUUCAGAGACGUUCUGCUAAGAUAGCUGUAUACCACCUGCAGGAGCUGGCCUCUGCUGAACUGGCCAAGGAAUGGCCUAAGCGGAAGGUGCUUCAGGACCUGGUACCAGAUGAUCGGAAGUUAAAAUAUACUCGCCCUGGGCUGCCUACCUUCAGCCAGGAAGUACUGCACAAAUGGAAGUCAGAUAUCAAGAAGUAUCAUCGUAUUCAGUGUCCUAACCAGGGUUGUGAGGCUGUCUACAGUAGUGUUUCUGGCCUCAAAGCUCACCUGGGCUCUUGUACACUGGUGUCCUACAACCCACCAGCCAUGGGAAUUGCUGCCACUUUCCAAUUCCAUUCAGAAGUAUCUCCUCACACAAAAUGAGCACCAUGGAAACCUGAAGCUUCAGGAGGGGAGAUAAGUCUCAGUUCAAGGCAACAAGGGAGUUGUAGGCAUCUAAACCAGAUCUGUCCAGGAAUGCUUAGGAGUUUGUCAUCUUGAUCCUAGUUUCUGAGUCCUUAAACUAGGUAUUAUGGAUGGUACUCUUCUAAUUCUGGAUUUCCAAGGCGCUCUUUGCAACAGUGGAUCAUAGUGGGAAGAACUGCACAUUGUACCUCUGGUGAACUUUGGGAGUUUGAUCAUUUUGGGGGAGGAACCAAGAGAAUGUGAAAAUGAAGUGAAAGGAACAUGGGAAGGUAGAAGACCGUAGCAUGGUAUAUAAUAAGAGCAGGAGAAUGUCAGGUUGUGUUGAAGGUGGGGUGGGUGUUUGGUAUAGAAUUGCAUUAGGAUAGACAGAUCCUGGUGAUAGUCAGUUCAAACUGGUUUUCCUAAAUCUAUUGCUGUUUUGGAUCUUCCUUCUUAUCUUCGCUGAAGUAGAAUUCCGUCUUUUCAUCCCUGACAAUCCCUGCACAUGGCCCAGAUAACGUGUUCCUGAAUUUACCAAUAAUCCUCUUUUGUUUCUCUCUUGGAAAUAGGGAAACUUUGUGGCUGGAAAGUACAAGUGUCUUCUAUGUCAGAAAGAAUUUGUGUCAGAGAGUGGUGUCAAGUAUCACAUCAACUCUGUCCAUGCUGAGGAUUGGUUUGUUGUAAACCCAACAACAACCAAAAGCUUUGAAAAGUUGAUGAAGAUAAAGCAGCGGCAGCAAGAAGAAGAAAAGCGGAGGCAGCAGCACAGGAGCAGAAGGUCUCUAAGAAGGCGGCAGCAGCCUGGCAUUGAGCUUCCUGAGACAGAGCUGAGUCUUAGAGUAGGGAAGGAUCAGAGGAGGAAUAAUGAGGAACUGGUAGUGUCCUCCUGUAAGGAACCAGAGCAGGAGCCAGUGCCAGCACAGUUCCAGAAAGUAAAGCCCCCAAAGACUAAUCAUAAACGAGGAAGGAAAUAGGCAGUCAGUGUGAAAGCGCUCCUAGGAGAGCGGAUGUGAUGCUGUUGUCACGGGGACAUGUGCUGGGAGGACUGAGUCAUGGGGCUGAGUGAAGAUUCUUUCAGCUGUUUGUGUAAGGCUGGGACUUUCUCAGUUCCUUCCUCCUGUGUAAAUUUCACUGUCUUCCCUUCUUAUUCACUUUCAUUCCCCUGUCCCCUUUCAGUAGGUUUUCCUGCUAUUCCUCAUUGGAGUCCUCUUAUUUUUCCUCUUAUCUUGCCCAAAGAGUUCCCUCUUAAGGCCAACUAUAGGCCCCUCUUGCCCUGUAUAAGACUAAGAAACCUGUUUGGUUGUUCUUUCCUUCCUGGGGUAUAGAAUGUUCUUGGAAGAUCCAUUGAUUUAGUAGCUACUCUAUCAUCUAGCUUAUAAAACCAUUCCAAACUAAUUUUUAAAACCAUAACUGAUUUAUCAUUUUGUAUUUGUGAUAUAACAAGCCUAGAAGCUAGAACUGUUGUCAUUUAUGUAAUAUGGUUCCCGUGUCUCCUUGGGAAGCAAACUUUAUGGAGGCUAUUUGUCUUCUCAAUAUGGUUUUAGGAUUGAAAGUAAGAAAAUGGACUUAAGAUGAAAAAUCUAGAACCUCCCUACACUGGUUAUACUGAGAAAUGCUGUUUGUACCAAGUAGCAGUGACUAGAUCUACAGACAUGCAACCUUAGGAGUAAUGUGUCCCAUUAAAAUGACUGGAAAGAAAAGGUAGAAGCAGCAAUAAAUACUGCCCCAACUUUCCUGAGGCCUCAUCCAUUACCACGAUCAGUACCCUCCUGAAGUUUACUUUUGCUCCCUUGGUUUUAAGGAUUGAGAAAUAAUAGCAUUGCCCCUGAUGCUUUGACAUGGUCUCCUAGUGCUCCUGGUAAUGCCACUAAGAUUGGAAACCAAGGUGCACAUUCCUUCCCCACUGGACUUUACUUCACUUGUUAGUCUGCACCCCAGUAAGUCCUCAUCAAUCCCUUUAGCCAACCUCUGUCUCUUUGAAUUUUCUGAGAAUGUUGUCCUUCUAUCCUCUUUUAUAUAUGGAGUUCUAUCCUCUUUAUAUCCUGAGACUUUGACACCAGAUGUAGAUAUUUAUCUGGAGCUGGAAAGGAAAAUUCUUUUUCCAUACCUCAUGCCUACCUGGUAAUGUUUAAUGGGCUAUUUCUCUUUGAGGGUUGCUUUCUCUGGAGCAUUGGUUAGAGCAGCUUUGUUGUCAUGUUUCUGGAUUCUCUUCCCCCUUUUGCAUAAAUAUUGGUCUUAUAUAUUCUUGCCUAUCUUGUGGCAUAUGUCAUACAAAAAAUUAACUCUGAUAAGGACAAGUACUACCUUUUCAAAUUCUGAAAGGCUAUUCAACUCUUUCUCUUUUCUCUGUGCUCCUCCAAAUAGCUUUAAAAUGCAGGCUUUUGUGAAGACCACUUUCCAACAAGGGAGCACUGAAACCUGAUUUGGAUACUGCCAGGAUAGGUAGCAAAGGACAUGGCAUAUCCACUCUAUGUUUUCAUUGGCAGUGUACCCUUAAAGCCCUUUUGGUAGAUGAGGGUUGUUAGGGAGGAGAAAUGAAGAAGCUAUGUUAAUUUCUGGUGAGUAAGAACUGGGGAAUGUUUGGCAAUGACAAAAGAAAUAAAUGACUCUCAGUUAGAAUGA